UCUAUUCGGGAGCAAUUUAUUUUCUUCAAGUCUUCAAAUUUGUACAUUUACUGAAUAGUCAGUGAUUGAGAAAAUACAAAAUGAAUAUUUUGACCUACAUCAUGAUAUUGUUGGCUUUUGCUAGUUGUUAAAACACCUCGCUUGUAGAUAUGUUACAAGAAGCCGAAAAACCAGUUAAAAUGUUCAGGACUUGCUAUUGCAAAGAUGUACCUGUCCCUGGAGUUCAGCGCCAUGGAGGCUGUUUACGUGGCGAGAGAUAUUGCAAAAGAACGUAUCAUAAUACUGUUUUUUGCUGCGUCAAAAGACCAUGGUUGCACUAAGAAAUAAUUACAGCAUCAAAUGAAACUAAAUUUGAUAUUUAAUUUGCUUAUUGUUUGUUUGUUAAAUCAUAUAAUAAUAUCUUUCGUAUUCUAAGAUCAUAUUUUGACUGCGCUAGUUUGCCUUGAAAUGUGACUCUUAGCUGAUAUGACAUGUGUUGACAUAAAUACAAACACUGCUGGAGACUUCUUU